CAAGUCUAAAGCAUCACUCUUUCAAAAUUAAUUUUGCUCUAUUCAUCUUGUAUCUGUCUGUUAUGAUUUUAAUUUUCUGAGACAGAACAAACUAUCAACACCUCUGCUAAUUGUUUAAUGAUGAAGUGGGUUUCUAUUUAACUAUUUGGACUUAUAAUUAGCACUGCUGCAUAUAUUUAUGACUUACAGUGUGGUGGCAGCGAGAAGAGAGCAGGAAGGGUACAAAUUUAGAGAAAGAAGUGCCAAAAGCACCAGAUCCA